UAUAACGCUCCCUUCAUAUUAGACCACACGUGUCAAACUCAAGGCCUGCGGGCCAAAUCAGGCCCCUUGCAGAUUUUCAUCCGGUCCGCAUAUCAAUUUAGGUUCACAAUAAAUUUUGGCCCAACUAGUUUCUGUCGCUUUUGCCAACGUUUUUUU